UCCUACUCUGGUUGAUCCUGCCAGUAGUCAUAUGCUUGUCUCAAAGAUUAAGCCAUGCAUGUCUAAGUUCACACUUGUUUAACGGUGAAACCGCGAAUGGCUCAUUAUAUCAGUCGAGGUUCCUUAGAUGAUACUUUUCCCCGAAAGUUACUUGGAUAACUGUGGCAAUUCUAGAGCUAAUACAUGUUUUUCUAGCUCCGACCCCUCCAAGGGAAAGAGCGCUUUUAUUAGUUCAAAACCGAUCGGUGCGGAUGAGUUCGGCUUCUGUCGGGCCCCAUCGGCCGUCCACAUUGGUGACUCUGGAUAACUUUGUGCUGAUCGUACGCCCUUUCAGCGGCGACGACGCAUCUUUCAAAUGUCUGACCUAUCAAAUGUCGAUGGUACGUGAUAUGCCUACCAUGUUUGUAACGGGUAGCGGGGAAUCAGGGUUCGAUUCCGGAGAGGGAGCAUGAGAAACGGCUACCACAUCCAAGGAAGGCAGCAGGCGCGCAACUUACCCACUCCCGGCACGGGGAGGUAGUGACGAAAAAUAACAAUACGGGACUCUUUCGAGGCCCCGUAAUUGGAAUGAGUACACUUUAAACCCUUUAACGAGGAUCUAUUGGAGGGCAAGUCUGGUGCCAGCAGCCGCGGUAAUUCCAGCUCCAAUAGCGUAUAUUAAAGUUGUUGCAGUUAAAAAGCUCGUAGUUGGAUCUCAGGAGCGGGCGAGCGGUCCGACGCGUGUCGGUUUACUGCUCGUUUCCUGCCCUACCACGUCGGCUCUCUCCCUUGGUGCUCUUCGUUGAGUGUCUCGGGUGGCCGGCUCGUUUACUUUGAAAAAAUUAGAGUGUUCAAAGCAGGUUCUUAAUGGCCUGAAUAAUGGUGCAUGGAAUGAUAGAAUAGGACCUCGGUUCUAUUUUGUUGGUUUUCGGAACUGGAGGUAAUGACCAAUAGGGACAAACGGGGGCAUUCGUAUUGCGGUGUUAGAGGUGAAAUUCUUGGAUCGCCGCAAGACGAACUACUGCGAAAGCAUUUGUCAAGAAUGUUUUCAUUAGUCAAGAACGAAAGUCAGAGGCGCGAAGACGAUCAGAUACCGUCGUAGUUCUGACCAUAAACGAUGCCAGCUAGCGAUCCGUAGGAGUUGUUUCAAUGACUCUACGGGCAGCUUCCGGGAAACCAAAGCUUUUGGGUUCCGGGGGAAGUAUGGUUGCAAAGCUGAAACUUAAAGGAAUUGACGGAAGGGCACCACCAGGAGUGGAGCCUGCGGCUUAAUUUGACUCAACACGGGAAAACUCACCCGGUCCGGACACUGUAAGGAUUGACAGAUUGAUAGCUCUUUCUUGAUUCGGUGGGUGGUGGUGCAUGGCCGUUCUUAGUUGGUGGAGCGAUUUGUCUGGUUAAUUCCGAUAACGAACGAGACUCUAGCCUAUUAAAUAGUAGGCGGAGGCGAUAUGGUUUCCGGGCGUUCGCGUUCCGGGGCCGCUUGAGCCUCCGCCCCUACUUCUUAGAGGGACAAGUGGCGUUUAGCCACACGAGACUGAGCAAUAACAGGUCUGUGAUGCCCUUAGAUGUCCGGGGCCGCACGCGCGCUACACUGAAGGAAUCAGCGUGGAUAGAACCCUGGCCCGAGAGGGUCGGGAAACCCGUUGAAUCUCCUUCGUGCUAGGGAUCGGGGCUUGUAAUUCUUCCCCGUGAACGAGGAAUUCCCAGUAAGCGCGAGUCAUAAGCUCGCGUUGAUUACGUCCCUGCCCUUUGUACACACCGCCCGUCGCUACUAUCGAUUGAGCGGUUCAGUGAGGGCCUCGGAUUGGUCUCGGCCUGGCUUCGCGGCCGGCGCCGUUGGCCGAGAAGACGCUCGAACUCGAUCGCUGGAGAAAGUAAAA
rnacentral:rRNA from 1 species